rnacentral:misc_RNA from 1 species
GUGUGCACUGUUCUCGCCAGUCGUCACUGAAUAUUAGCAGUUGUGCAUAAUCAUCAACAACAAGAAAAUUUUGCUUGCUGGUGCCGUUAAUGACUUCUAGACAACCUGACAUUAAUAGCAAUCAAUCUCAGCUACAUUGAUAGGAUUUACAGACACCUGUUUGAUUGGAGCAUCCAGCCAUCCACCCAUGUCAGGUGAUUUAUUUCUUCUUCCUUCUUCUUUAAAUCUUCUCUGCCCUCGUGUACAUUCAUUUGAUUGUAUUAUUCAGGAGGACGCCUUUCAUCCCAUUCCGUCCGCUGUAAUCAACUUUUCUUCAGAUGGAGAAUUUUAAAAAAGGGUGGUUUUUCCAAGACUUUCUAGGUAGGAACAUUUAUCCAUAUUUUUUACACUAUUUGGUUUCGUUGAUAAUCGUUAAAAUAUCUCCCAACUGCAUAUAGGUAGGAUAAAUCAAUUAGCAAAUACUUUAGUCAGGGAAAAUUUUUUGCGUGGUAGAAAUUAAUUCAAAGUAUAGAAAUCGUUAAGUUUUUUUAAAGCGAAACAAAUGGAAACCCACAUUAAAGAAAGCAAUGAUUUAUCUAAAGGCAGGUAGACCCUUCUUUUCUGUUGGAAUAAGAAAAAGCCAAAAAGUGUUUGCAUAAAAAAAAAAAUAGAAAAGGAAACUUCUAACUUCGGUACCUUUCGUACUCGUAUGAUCUCGAGCUCAGUCUGGGUAGUAUGGUACACGCAGAAUCCUGAAGAUAGAAUCCAGGUAGUCCUCCCAACCAGUGAAGGUGUCUGUAUGUCCGCCGUGGCGUUUUCUUAAUCCAGCUUCCAUGUACGUCAAAGUAUCUUGCUCAACCGACUGUUUGGGUGAUAAGAACCCCCAUACACUCGCAACGAUGUUAAAAUAGGACGAAAAAAUGCUUCGUCGAGUCGUUGAAUAGUGAACAGAAAUCAUUAGGAUCAUUGUGGUUUCUAGCAGUAUACCUAAUACGAACAGAUAGUGAAAAACAAACGCAAUAACAGCGAGUUUGCGCGUACUACAUCCGUGGAUGGAGCGGUGAUUUUUGUAUACCGUAUUUAGAACACACACGGCCGAAGUCAAAUCAAUCAUCACGGCAGAAGCUGAUGUAUUGACUACUAAUCAUAAAUUAAUCAAGAAAUUAUAUUACAUGUUGAUAGCUCUCAGUUAGCAGAUAGGCGAGGAGAAAAGAGGUGUAACGUAAUAUGAUAAGGUAAACGAGUUUGGGAAAAAGAAAGCUGUUGAAAACUGGAAAAACUGAUGCAAUAUACAGUUAUAAAAACUGUUUUUUACACGCAACACAUACACGUAAGAUGGAAGGACUAUUAGGCAAUAAUUUUAUUUCAUUUACCUUCCUUAUAGUUCGAUUGUUGCUAAGAAAAAUACUUUCUUUUCUUUUGCAUGACGCGACAUUCCAAUUUGAAAAACAUAAGGAUUAUGUAACUCGGGUUUAAUGUCGAUGUAAUUUAAAACGGAAAUCAGUUCCCUUUGUCUGUGGACUUGCGGAGUUCCCCGUCUAUUCCUGUUUGUUUACUUUCAAUUGGGCUGCCCAAGUCCAAAACUGUGGUAGAUGCAAGGUCAUUUUAUGAAGUAAACGAGUUUUACAAAUAAUAUUCCUUUUUCAACAGCACACAUCAUCCUUGAUUGUUGAUUCUGGGGUGUAGUCAUUUAUAAAUUAUAAAUAAAAAAAAAGGAACUAUCUGCCAAGGUGAAAUGCAAAUAAGUAACAAUUCGAGCGUUUCCUGUCUUUUCGGCGAGUAUAGCCAGAUAGUGCAAGCGGUUGAUACAGCUCAGUUGGAUAUCUUCAUUACUGAGCUCCAGUUGAGGAACAAUGAAAGCUUUGUCAUUGGUUUGUUUGUUGGCGUUGGCGGCGAUGGUCAGCACUGCGCCGCAGGUCCCUAUACCUAUCAGCAACGACAACUCCAAGUCGAAAUCCAUUGAGGAGAUCAAACCCAUCGCCCCGACCGUUCCAGUCCCUGGAGUCACCCCUGCAGAAUCCAAGCCAAAGGAAUGGUUAUCCUCCACUUCAACUGUUGCCGAUAGGUCUCGUUGUCUUAAGGAUUAUCGCAAUAAAAAUUCUGAUGCCCCACCACCGAGCGCGGCAAAUAUUACCUCCCCCACCCAUCGUUACCCAUUCGUGGUGUCAAUUUUUCAUUACUCAGAGGAUGAAGGAUACCAUUUUCAUUGUAGUGGAUCUUUGAUUAGUCCAACUAAAAUACUGCUGAUAGCCAAUUUCUGCUUAUACUAUAAUCCUACAUAUAGAAUUACUUACCCCGUGGAAAACCUAAAAGUUAGGCUUGGCACGCAGUUCUUGAACGAGACGACAAGCGAUGCCCAGGUGACAAAGAAUGUCAAAGAAAUCAAUCUUCAUGAUGACUUGUAUUUUGGCCUCGCGAUUUUGACGAUGGAUUCACCUGUGGAAUAUGCGGACACCAUUUCCCCCAUUUGCUUGGUGCCAGAUUGCUUCGACGACGAUAGCGGUCAAUCAGUAAUUGCCAUGGGAUGGGAAUAUUCACCCCGUCCCCAUGAAAUAGAUACAAAAAAUUCUGCUUUCCUGGGAUUAGUGCGCCUUUCUACGCUUCCAAUGAAAACAUGCUUAACCAAAGAUGUUGAUGAACUACCGCGGUGGCCCAGUGGUCAUUGAGAAUAAUUCCCGAGAUAAUACGUCAUGUCGUUUCAUGCAAGUCGGUGUCUUCGAUCAUUUCGCUGACGACAUCGACGUGGGUAGUUUUCUUCGAAUCAAAAACUAUUUGCCUUGGAUUGAGAAGAACUCGAAAUAAU